rnacentral:lncRNA from 1 species
UGGCUCCCAUGCUCUAUGGAGCAUUUGAGCACAUGUUACAGACAUAACCACUGAUCCUAACACACAUAACCAUCAACCAGAAGAUGCCGCAUGCUUCCCUGUGUCUGGAGUAUUUUGUUACCACAAGCCUUGUUCUCCCCCUUCCCUGCCCAUAUCUACCAUAGGCCACUUUGACACGGUACCUAAUCUGAGCUCUCUGCACUGAGGCAAGGGAACAAUGAUCACAGAUUGCUGGGGUCAGGCUACUGGGGACAGAUCUGGAGGAGAUGAGACAGUAAACACCUAGUAUAUACCAUCCCAGAUCCUACCCUUCACUCCAUCAGUUACCAGGAAGGGGAACCAAGGAGGGAGGAAGCUCUAUACUACUGCUGAGUGAUGAUUGAAGAGAACCUGCCACUGUCUCUUGGAAGAUGACAACAUCCAUUUUCAUUACUGUUUGAAUGCAAACAAUUUUAAGGCUCAAACUCACAUCAACUUCCCAAAUUUCAGUUUUUAAGAAGGCUUUGCUUCAAGCUACCAUUCCUGAUGGGGGCACUCACCUCAGAAUAUUACAAGCCAUCUUUAUUGCCAAAACCAGCAAGUACACAGACUCCUGAGACAAGGCAGGACUUGUGGCAAUGCCUUGGCCUCCUAGAAACCGUCUGAGCCCUCCUGUUCCCAGGGAUGAGGAACAAGCCCUCCUGAGCUGCUGCAGUUCCCGCCUGACCUCACUCCUCUGCAGGCAUCAUUUGUCCUUUCUUGGCAUGGGUGCUGACCUCACUCAUCCUUGGGGUCCAGGAUAUGGCAUCAGGACCUCGUCACCCCAAGAUUCUCCAUGCCACAUGGUCACUGCUCUCCUCAGGGACCAGGACAAGGUCACCGUGAAGGUUCGUGUCUGAGUGAUUUCGGCCUGUCAUGGAGUCAUUCUUAAGAUUGGAGAACCCCCACUUAGAGGAGCUGCCAAGACAUUCCUCUGUUUGCCCAUUAGCAGCCAGG